ensembl:lncRNA
CAGGCUCAGAGGCGGGUUGCUUGUGGAGGACCCCCUGGCGUGCCAGAAGGCUGCCAGAACUGCUGUGAUUGCUCUGCUAGAGGCAGGUUCAGAGUCCCAGGAACACAGAAGGGAGGAACCUCCUCUGAUUCAGGGAGUGAGACGUGGGGGAGAGCACGCGGAGAGGAUGGCGCGUGAGCUGGCUCUGAGAGGAUGCGUACGACUAGGAGUUGAGAACGAGGGACAGAGAAGGAGAGACGACGACCUGAGCAAAGGCCGAGGAGCCCAGGGAUGCUUGUGUGCAGCGAGCAGAGGGUCCUGAGGAGCUGAGAAAAAUCCCGAAUUUCUUGAUUGCUCCAAGGAGAGGAAGACUUGAGGGAACGGCAGCUUUCACCUUGAAGCCGGGCCUGAGAGCUGCAGUGUCUCCCAGGCCAGCUCUGCCACUAGCACUUUGGGACCAAGCGGGAGGCAGGCCCAGGAACUGCAGGUGUGUGUGUGGGGUGGG